UGAGCCAUUAGCUCAGUUGGUAGAGCAUCUGACUUUUAAUCAGAGGGUCAGAGGUUCGAAUCCUCUAUGGCUCAUUAC
rnacentral:tRNA from 2 species